rnacentral:rRNA from 1 species
UACGGGGGGGGCAAGCGUUGUUCGGAAUUACUGGGCGUAAAGGGCUCGUAGGCGGCCAACUAAGUCAGACGUGAAAUCCCUCGGCUUAACCGGGGAACUGCGUCUGAUACUGGAUGGCUAGAGGUUGGGAGAGGGAUGCGGAAUUCCAGGUGUAGCGGUGAAAUGCGUAGAUAUCUGGAGGAACACCGGUGGCGAAGGCGGGUCUCUGGGCCGUAACUGACGCUGAGGAGCGAAAGCGUGGGGAGCGAACAGG